GCGUUGGCUCUGCUCUUGCUUUUGCCAAGCUCACAUCCGAUGCAGCCUUGGACCCCGCUGGUCUUGUCGCUGUCGCUGUGGCUCACGCCUUUGCCCUUUUCGUUGGUGUUUCCAUAGCCGCCAACAUCUCCGGCGGACACCUUAACCCCGCCGUGACACUCGGUCUCGCCGUCGGUGGCAACAUCACAGUAAUAACCGGUUUCUUUUACUGGAUUGCUCAAUGCCUUGGCUCCAUCGUCGCGUGUCUCCUCCUCGUCUUCGUUACCAAUGGCGAGGUACACAAAAACAUUCGUAAUUUAUUCAAUACUAUUUAUUUAAGUCAUGUGUUAUUUCUGAUUAUGACUGUUUUGUCCAAACGACCGUGACUAAAAAAUGUUAUGCCGGUCUUAAGAUCCAGUUUGAUUUUAAAAGGUAUAUGGAUUAACCGAGAAUGUGUUUAUUUCCCGGUUAUGCAGAGCGUACCGACUCAUGGAGUAGCGGCCGGUUUAGGAGCUAUUGAAGGAGUAGUGAUGGAGAUUGUGGUGACCUUUGCUCUGGUCUACACAGUCUACGCCACAGCGGCUGAUCCAAAGAAAGGUUCACUCGGGACCAUUGCUCCAAUUGCUAUCGGUUUCAUCGUUGGUGCCAACAUCCUCGCAGCGGGUCCCUUUAGCGGUGGUUCCAUGAACCCGGCCAGGUCAUUUGGACCAGCUGUUGUCAGUGGUGACUUCUCUCAGAUAUGGAUCUACUGGGUGGGUCCACUAGUCGGUGGUGCACUUGCUGGACUCAUCUACGGAGACGUCUUCAUCGGAUCCUACGCUCCAGCUC
rnacentral:lncRNA from 1 species